rnacentral:rRNA from 1 species
AACACAUGCAAGUCGAACGGACUUAGAGGAGCUUGCUCCUCUAGGUUAGUGGCGGACGGGUGAGUAACGCGUGGGUAACCUGCCCUAUGCAGGGGGAUAACAACGAGAAAUCGUUGCUAAUACCGCAUAACCUACUGAGGUCGCAUGAUUUUAGUAGCAAAGAUUUAUCAGCAUAGGAUGGACCCGCGUUGGAUUAGCUAGUUGGUGAGGUAACGGCUCACCAAGGCUACGAUCAGUAGCUGAUCUGAGAGGAUGAUCAGCCACAUUGGGACUGAGACACGGCCCAAACUCCUACGGGAGGCAGCAGUGGGGAAUAUUGGACAAUGGGCGCAAGCCUGAUCCAGCCAUGCCGCGUGAGUGAUGACGGCCUUCGGGUUGUAAAGCUCUUUUGUCCGGGAAGAUAAUGACUGUACCGGAAGAAUAAGCCCCGGCAAACUUCGUGCCAGCCGCCGCCGUAA